AGUGAACGCUGGCGGUAGGCCUAACACAUGCAAGUCGAACGGCAGCACAGUAAGAGCUUGCUCUUACGGGUGGCGAGUGGCGGACGGGUGAGGAAUACAUCGGAAUCUACUUUUUCGUGGGGGAUAACGUAGGGAAACUUACGCUAAUACCGCAUACGACCUACGGGUGAAAGCAGGGGAUCUUCGGACCUUGCGUGAUUGAAUGAGCCGAUGUCGGAUUAGCUAGUUGGCGGGGUAAAGGCCCACCAAGGCGACGAUCCGUAGCAGGUCUGAGAGGAUGAUCAGCCACACUGGAACUGAGACACGGUCCAGACUCCUACGGGAGGCAGCAGUGGGGAAUAUUGGACAAUGGGCGCAAGCCUGAUCCAGCCAUACCGCGUGGGUGAAGAAGGCCUUCGGGUUGUAAAGCCCUUUUGUUGGGAAAGAAAAGCAGCAGGUUAAUACCCCGCUGUUCUGACGGUACCCAAAGAAUAAGCACCGGCUAACUUCGUG
rnacentral:rRNA from 1 species